UACGGAGGGUGCAAGCGUUAUCCGGAUUCACUGGGCUUAAAGCGUGUGUAGGUGGAAGCGUAAGUACCUUGUGAAAUCCCACGGCUUAACCGUGGAACUGCUUGGUAUACUGCGUUUCUUGAGCCAACUAGGGGCUAUCGGAACAAGUGGUGGAGCGGUGAAAUGCGUAGAUAUCGUAAGGAAGACCAGUGGCGAAGGCGGGUCUCUGGACAGUUCCUGACGCUGAGGCACGAAGGUCAGGGGAGCAAACGGG
rnacentral:rRNA from 1 species